rnacentral:rRNA from 1 species
AACGAACGCUGGCGGCAGGCUUAUCACAUGCAAGUCGAGCGCCCCGCAAGGGGAGCGGCAGACGGGUGAGUAACGCGUGGGAAUCUACCCAUCUCUACGGAAUAACGCAUGGAAACGUGUGCUAAUACCGUAUACGUCCUUCGGGAGAAAGAUUUAUCGGAGAUGAAUGAGCCCGCGUUGGAUUAGCUAGUUGGUGGGGUAAAGGCCUACCAAGGCGACGAUCCAUAGCUGGACUGAGAGGAUGAUCAACCACACUGGGACUGAGACACGGCCCAGACUCCUACGGGAGGCAGCAGUGGGGAAUAUUGGACAAUGGGCGCAAGCCUGAUCCAGCCAUGCCGCGUGAGUGAUGAAGGCCCUAGGGUUGUAAAGCUCUUUCACCGGUGAAGAUAAUGACUGUACCGGAAGAAUAAGCCCCGGCUAACUUCGUGCCAGCCGCCGCAGUAACAC